rnacentral:rRNA from 1 species
UGGUUUUAAUUCGAUGCAACGCGAAAAACCCUUACCCACCCUUUGACAUGUACGGAAUUUGCCAGAAGAUGGCUUAGUGCUCGAAAGAGAGCCGUAACACAGGUGCUGCAUGGCUGUCGUCAGCUCGUGUCGUGAGAUGUUGGGUUAAGCCCCGCAACGAGCGCAACCCUUGUCAUUAGUUGCUACAUUCAGUUGGGCACUCUAAUGAGACUGCCGGUGACAAACCGGAGGAAGGUGGGGAUGACGUCAAGUCCUCAUGGCCCUUAUAGGUGGGGCUACACACGUCAUACAAUGGCUGGUACAAAGGGUUGCCAACCCGCGAGGGGGAGCUAAUCCCAUAAAACCAGUCGUAGUCCGGAUCGCAGUCUGCAACUCGACUGCGUGAAGUCGGAAUCGCUAGUAAUCGUGGAUCAGAAUGUCACGGUGAAUACGUUCCCGGGUCUUGUACACACCGCCCGUCACACCAUGGGAGCGGGUUCUGCCAGAAGUAGUUAGCUUAACCGCAAGGAGGGCGAUUACCACGGCAGGGUUCGUGACUGGGGUGAAGUCGUAACAAGGUA